rnacentral:rRNA from 1 species
GUGUCAGCAGCCGCGGUAAUACGUAGGGUGCGAGCGUUAAUCGGAAUUACUGGGCGUAAAGCGUGCGCAGGCGGUUAUGUAAGACAGAUGUGAAAUCCCCGGGCUUAACCUGGGAACUGCGUUUGUGACUGCAUAACUUGAGUGUAGCAGAGGGGGGUGGAAUUCCACGUGUAGCAGUGAAAUGCGUAGAGAUGUGGAGGAACACCGAUGGCGAAGGCAGCCCCCUGGGUUAACACUGACGCUCAAGCACGAAAGCGUGGGUAGCAAACAGGAUUAGAUACCCCCGUAGUCC